ACCAGAGCUGAGAGAUGGUCCAAGCUCCCC
rnacentral:piRNA from 1 species